AUGCAGCAGGCCUCUCGCCAGCUUCCCACAGGCACCGCCGGGUGUCUUCCUCAAGCCCGUGCUGGGUCGGCCCUGAUCCCGUUCCUCUUAAGAAACGACUGUCCUGUUUCCUUCCUGUCUCGCUUGCUCUGUCACGCCUGGGAGGCUCCCACCGCGAUCCUAGAAGGGGCCCCCGCCCUCCAAACCCAUCCGCUCUUCCCUCCAACAAACACUCCGUCCCUCUUCCCGGUUUCCGAACUCACCACUGCGGCCAGAGGGGAAGCUGGUAAAGCGAUGCUCCUCGUGUGUGCCGGGAGCCCCCUCUGCGGGCAAUGCGUUAACUCCAGCCUUGGGCGGACCAGCCCCGCCGAGCCAAUGAACAAGGCCCAAGUCUCCGUGAUGAGCCUCCCCCUCCCCCUCCUUCCGCCUCGAGCUGGCGCACCUCACAAUCGCCGCCGCGGACCAUCCUCAUUCCGUAUGCAGCGGCAGCGAAUCCUCAUUGGUUCGCGCAGGGUGGCGCGCGAGGGGCUGGCUCUAUUACGUUCUAAAACGGUUGUGUCGGUGAGAGGUGGGGGAAGCACGCGCGCGGGAGAGAAGAGCGCAAAGGGCAUAGAUGAAGGCAGCUGCGGUUCGUUAGGUCCAGGAAAUUAUCAUUGCCUCUUUAUGACAAGGGUGAUGCUUGCAAAUCGAAACAGACUGUGUUGUGUCCAAUCUAGCCAUAUUUGAUAACCAUUGUACAGCUUUCCCUUUCUGGACAUGAUUGUGGAGAUGGGAGUAGGCAUUUAAGAUGCUAAGGAAUUGUUGGAACCAUUUCAGAUACAGGUGAAUAUUAAAUUAUUUCUGUGUUUCUGUCCCUCCCCAUAUUGCUUACCAAAAGAUUUCUAACUCAAUUUGGCGUUAACUUAUAAAGCCCCAAGUCCAUCUUCUACUAACUUAUCUGGCCCAAUAGCUUAUUCUUGGAAAGAGAAGCUUUUAACCAUAUUGUGAAGUAAGGGCAAGUGAGGCCAGGGGUACUGUUUCUCAGCUGCUGAGCAAUAUUUUCCAUUAGAAUUAAUAUUUGCACAUUCCUUUGGAGAUUUCAUAAGCUGCUUAUGCAGAACUUUUCCAAAGAAUAUCUGAAAUAAUUUGUGAUUGC
rnacentral:lncRNA from 1 species